rnacentral:misc_RNA from 1 species
AAGUCGUAACAAGGUCUCCGUAGGUGAACCUGCGGAGGGAUCAUUACUGAGAUAGGGUUCUUCCGAGCCCGACCUCCAACCCUUUGUCUACCAAACCUCUGUUGCCUCGGCGGGCCGCCGACGCUCCCCUCCGGGGGCGCCGCCGUCGGCCUCCGCGCUCUCGAGUGCCCGCCGCAGGACCCUUUAAACUCUUUUUAGAACGAGUUGAAUCUGAGUGGAUAUUUAAUGCUUCAAAAAAAACUUUCAACAACGGAUCUCUUGGUUCUG